GGCUGUCCGCUAACACGACCGAUAGGGUAGCGCGUGCGCCUCCUAUUCGACGACGAAUAGCGCAAGGUUGCGGGUUCGAGUCCCGUGCUGGUCG